GAUGAACGCUGGCGGCGUGCUUAACACAUGCAAGUCGAACGGAAAGGCUCCUGCUUGCAGGGGUACUCGAGUGGCGAACGGGUGAGUAACACGUGGGUGAUCUGCCCUGCACUUCGGGAUAAGCCUGGGAAACUGGGUCUAAUACCGGAUAGGACGAUGGUUUGGAUGCCAUUGUGGAAAGUUUUUCGGUGUGGGAUGAGCUCGCGGCCUAUCAGCUUGUUGGUGGGGUAAUGGCCUACCAAGGCGUCGACGGGUAGCCGGCCUGAGAGGGUGUACGGCCACAUUGGGACUGCGAGACGGCCCAGACUCCUACGGGAGGCAGCAGUGGGGAAUAUUGCACAAUGGGCGCAAGCCUGAUGCAGCGACGCCGCGUGGGGGAUGACGGCCUUCGGGGUGUAAACUCCUUUCGCUAGGGACGAAGCGCAAGUGACGGUACCUGGAGAAGAAGCACCGGCUAACUACGUG
rnacentral:rRNA from 1 species